rnacentral:rRNA from 1 species
UACAGAGGGUGCGAGCGUUAAUCGGAAUUACUGGGCGUAAAGCGUGCGUAGACGGUUAUUUAAGUCGGGUGUGAAAGCCCCGGGCUCAACCUGGGAAUUGCAUUCGAGACUGAAUAGCUAGGGUACGGUAGAGGGAAGCGGAAUUUCCGGUGUAGCGGUUGAAAAUGCGUAGAUAUCGGAAGGAACAUCAGUGGCGAAAGCGGCUUCCUGGACCAGUACCGACGUCAGGCACGAAAGCGUGGGGGAGCGAACAGGA